rnacentral:rRNA from 1 species
GGGGAAUUUUGGACAAUGGGGGCAACCCUGAUCCAGCCAUUCCGCGUGUGUGAUGAAGGCCUUCGGGUUGUAAAGCACUUUUGGCAGAGAAGAAAUGGCGCGGGCUAAUAUCCCGUGUCGAUGACGGUAUCUGCAGAAUAAGCACCGGCUAACUACGCGCCAGCAGCCGCGGUAAUACGUAGGGUGCAAGCGUUAAUCGGAAUUACUGGGCGUAAAGCGUGCGCAGGCGGUUCGGAAAGAAGGAUGUGAAAUCCCAGGGCUCAACCUUGGAACUGCAUUCUUAACUCCCGGACUAGAGUAUGUCAGAGGGGGGUGGAAUUCCACGUGUAGCAGUGAAAUGCGUAGAUAUGUGGAGGAACACCGAUGGCGAAGGCAGCCCCCUGGGAUAAUACUGACGCUCAGGCACGAAAGCGUGGGGAGCAAAC